rnacentral:rRNA from 1 species
AGAGGGGGACAACUUGUGGAAACGCAAGCUAAUACCGCAUACGUCCUACGGGAGAAAGCAGGGGAUCUUCGGACCUUGCGCUAAGAGAUGAGCCCGCGUCGGAUUAGCUAGUUGGUGGGGUAAAGGCCUACCAAGGCGACGAUCCGUAACUGGUCUGAGAGGAUGAUCAGUCACACUGGAACUGAGACACGGUCCAGACUCCUACGGGAGGCAGCAGUGGGGAAUAUUGGACAAUGGGGGCAACCCUGAUCCAGCCAUGCCGCGUGUGUGAAGAAGGCCUUCGGGCUGUAAAGCACUUUAAGUUGGGAGGAAAGGGUGCUGGCUAAUAUCCAGUAUCUAUGACGUUACCGACAGAAUAAGCACCGGCUAACUCCGUGCCAGCAGCCGCGGUAAUACAGAGGGUGCAAGCGUUAAUCGGAAUUACUGGGCGUAAAGCGCGCGUAGGCGGCUAGUUAAGCUAGAUGUGAAAUCCCUGGGCUCAACCUGGGAACUGCAUUUAGAACUGACUGGCUAGAGUGCAGAAGAGGAGUGUGGAAUUUCCGGUGUAGCGGUGAAAUGCGUAGAGAUCGGAAGGAACAUCAGUGGCGAAGGCGACACUCUGGUCUGACACUGACGCUGAGGUGCGAAAGCGUGGGUAGCAAACAGGAUUAGAUACCCUGGUAGUCCACGCUGUAAACGAUGUCUACUGCCGUUGGCCUCCUUGAGGGGUUAGUGGCGCAGCUAACGCGAUAAGUAGACCGCCUGGGGAGUACGGCCGCAAGGUUAAAACUCAAAUGAAUUGACGGGGGCCCGCACAAGCGGUGGAGCAUGUGGUUUAAUUCGACGCAACGCGAAGAACCUUACCUACUCUUGACAUCCUGUGAACCUUGUAGAGAUAUGAGGGUGCCUUCGGGAGCACAGAGACAGGUGCUGCAUGGCUGUCGUCAGCUCGUGUCGUGAGAUGUUGGGUUAAGUCCCGUAACGAGCGCAACCCUUGUCCUUAGUUGCUAGCAGGUUAAGCUGAGAACUCUAAGGAGACUGCCGGUGACAAACCGGAGGAAGGUGGGGACGACGUCAAGUCAUCAUGGCCCUUACGAGUAGGGCUACACACGUGCUACAAUGGCCGGUACAGACGGUUGCCAACCCGCGAGGGGGAGCUAAUCUGAGAAAACCGGUCGUAGUCCAGAUUGGAGUCUGCAACUCGACUCCAUGAAGUCGGAAUCGCUAGUAAUCGUGAAUCAGAAUGUCACGGUGAAUACGUUCCCGGGCCUUGUACACACCGCCCGUCACACCAUGGGAGUGGGUUGCACCAGAAGUAGCUAGUCUAACCGCAAGGGGGACGGUUACCACGGUGUGAUUCAUGACUG